rnacentral:rRNA from 1 species
UACGUAGGGCGCGAGCGUUGUCCGGAAUUAUUGGGCGUAAAGGGCUCGUAGGCGGUCUGUCACGUCGGGAGUGAAGACUCGGGGCUUAACCCCGAGCCUGCUUCCGAUACGGGCAGACUAGAGGUAUGCAGGGGAGACUGGAAUUCCUGGUGUAGCGGUGGAAUGCGCAGAUAUCAGGAGGAACACCGGUGGCGAAGGCGGGUCUCUGGGCAGUAACUGACGCUGAGGAGCGAAAGCGUGGGGAGCGAACAGG